rnacentral:lncRNA from 1 species
CGGGUCUGGGCUGCAGGAGUCGGAGGUUACAACAAACGUUUAAAGGUUUGCAUUACCAUAAGCCUCACAAUGAUGGAGGCUACCACAGACCCAGCUAUAACCACACCACUGCAAAAGAAAGUGCCAAGAGAUAUCAGUGAUGAUGACAUCUUUAAGCCUAGAAACCAGCCAACUGCGGAAGCCAUCAUCACAGACUCUGGGUCCGAAAAGAUGGACCGGUGCAAGACGGAGGACGUGCGGGAGGAGACGGAAGAGGGGGCGGAUAGCUCUGACGCCUCCAGCCCGGAACCGCUCUCCCCGUUGCGGCCGUUCUACAAGGUCCGCUUCACCGACCAGGUCACGAAAAAUGGCGAUAUCAUCAACUACCAGAUCGAGGUG